UGGGUGCACAAAUAGCAUGUGUGUGUUUUAGUAUGUGUGUGGUGCACUAGGUGUAGUGUGUGUAUAUGUGUUCUAGGAGUUGUAUGUGUGUGUGUUACUCAUGUCCAUGGGUGUUGAGCAUAUGCUCUAGUUUGUGCAAGUGUGUGAGUGUGUGUGUGUGUGGGUUCCCCCCCCCCACAUACUUGUGUGUGGAUGUGCAUGUGUGUGUGUGGUAUGGUGAUGUGCUAUGGCACACAUACAUGAGGUCUAAACCCUCAUGUCACCACUUGGGUUUGUGGGUGUGUGCAAUGCAUGUGUAGGUG
rnacentral:lncRNA from 1 species